rnacentral:lncRNA from 1 species
AUCAGAUUUAGCAGAAUAGGUAUUUAUAUUUGUGAUUAUGAAUAGCUAAAUUCAUAAAUUCCUGAAAUGUCAUGAUAUGAUAAAAUAAGUUCAUGUUAGUUAAUUUAUAGUAGAAUUAUUCGAAAAAUAGCAUGUUAAGAAGUUUAUUAGCAAAGUGGAAAAGGAGAAAAAUUCUUAAGAACUAUGUCAUCGUAAAGGUGAAACCGGUGAGGCAAGAAAGUCGUGAUAGAGGAGUAGCCAGAGUAGAGGUGCUGUUUAAGGGAAAAAUAUCCAGAUUAUCAUGCUAAUAGUGACCGAAGAAUAUGUUAUUUAAGGAUAAUCUAGUAUAUAGUAAUCUAAAAUGAUCAUAUUUUGUUACGUAUAUGAUUGAAGAGAAUAUUUUGAAAAAGCAUCAUAUGAAAAAUGAAUACUUAUUUAUCUGACAAAAUGGUAGAUAAAUUUAAAAUACUUGUUUUAUAUAUACCUAAGGAUAUAGAAAUUGUAGAUAUAAGAAAAACCAUAUUGGAAAAAAUAUUUGAUAAAUAUUUUAUGACUAGAAUAAAUUACAUACCACACCUACCUACCAACUCUUACAAAUACUUACAUAUCAAACCUACAUAUCAAUCAUGAUAAAUUACGUAUAUUUAGAAUAUUGAAAAAUGGAUAUAAAAAAUAUACAAUUAUUAGAUAACUAAUGGAAACCAAUCUAGAAAAAUAUAUUAGAAGUAAGGAUAUAAAAUAUAUAGAAUUCUUUAAUGAAAAUAUACAAGAACUAUUAAGAUUAAAACAAACAACUAAUAAAUACUAUGAUAAAGCAAUUAAUUAUUAGAAUCCAAUUCCAAGCUAUCCAAGUUAUUCGUAGAAACCUAAGCAUAAUAUGAAUACUAUGACAAGUUAUAUAUCUGAUGAAACUAAGAUACUUGUUUUAUAUAUCAUAAAAGACUUAAAAUUAGAAGACAUAAAGAAAAUAAUAUGGGAAAAAAUAUUUGAUUUUGAAGAUGAGUUACUAAAUACUAAUUGGAUAGAAGAUGAAUUAGAAAAUAUAGAUUUCUAUGGUAGAAAUAAUUCAGAUAGUUAUUAUUCAGAUGGAUAUUAUACAAAUUAAAAAUGUUAGAAUAUUAACAGAGUUAGAGAAAAAUAAAGUUGGCUAUAUGAAGAAAUUAAUUAUAGAAACCAGCUUAGAGAAGGAAGAGAAUAAUUAAAAGAAAGAUUAAUUUGGAUAAAUAAAACCAUAAAACAACUAGAAUUAAAAGACAGCUUUGAAUAUGAUUUAGACAUAGAAUUAUUCAUAGACGAAAAAGAUAGGAUAAUUAAUGAAAUAAAUAACCUAGAAUUUAAUAUCAGAUAUAGUACAAUUAGAAUAAAUAAUUACAAUGAAAUUUGCAGUAUCACAACUACUUUAGGAUAAAAUGAUAGACUAUGAGUAUUUAAAAUAUUGGAGACAAGAUAUGGAAGAAAUAAGAUUAACAGACGCUUUAUUCCACCCUCUGACCUACUUGAUUUUGUUUGGUCUUUCCAUAGUAGAAAUACUUAUGAAAGAAAAUUUAAUUGAAUAAUUUAGAUCAAAAGAUGAAUAUUUAGAAUACCUUCAAAAUAAUAUACAAGAAUUACAAAGUCUAAGAGAAAAAAUCAAAUAAUAUUAUAGUAAAGUAUUUAAUCAAAUACCAUCCAAUCACCCCCCAAAAUAUGAACAUUAAUAAAAUUAAAAUAAAUAAACUAAAAAUAAAAAUGUUAAGAGAAGUUAAGAAAUAUCCACGCACAUAUAAAAAUAGAUCCAUUGUAGUUAUAAUAGAUCUAUUCUAUUUAGUUAUCCAUUUAAGUUACCCAAGUUAUCCGCACCCCCUACAAUUGGUAUCAGAAUCUACAUUAUUUAAAGUUACGGAAGUAGUAUAUAUUUGGAUUUAUGGAUUUAUUUGAUUAAUUUAUUAAUUAUGAUAAAAUUAGAUUUAGAUAUCCACCAAAAUAUUAUAAAUAUUGUAUAGAUGAAUCCACAAAAAUAUAAAGAAUUAAAAUAAAUAAUAUCUGAAAAACGUAAAGAAUUAAAAAUAAGGAUAGAAAGACUACAGUAUAACACAAUUGUCAGAGUUAUUAAAAAUUUAAUAAAUGCACUAAAAGAAGAAACAUCAAAUUUAGAAUCAAUAAUAGAUAGUCUAGAAUAUAUAUGUCAACAUAACUUAUAUACAUUUAAAUAAAAUGAACAAAGAAGAAUUUAUAAUAGAUGAAAAAACAUAUGAAAAUCACGAAGGCUCAAAAAUAAAAAUAGUGUUCUCUAAUUUUGGAAGAAGAUAUAAAAAAAUAGGUGAACACUUAUAUUUAAUGUUAGAAAAAGAAGAAUUAAAAUUAGAAGAUAAGUUGGCAGUCAUGGUAAGAAUAGAAAGAGAAAAUGAAAAAAUAGACAGAAAAAAAUAGAUAAAAUAAAACAACAACCCACAGAAGAAAUACAAAAAUAGAAGAAAUCAAAAAUAGUAGGAUUGCUGAAUUAGAAAAAAAUUACAAAUGAUAAAAGAUUUCUAUGAAAAAAAAAUAGAAAGAAAAAGAAGAAAAAGAUAAAGAACAAAAAUUAUUAAUUGAGAUAAAUCAAUUUAAAAAAAAUUAGAAAUUAAAAAUAAAGAAUUAGAAACCAGUGAAUUAGAAAUAAAUACAAUAGAUGCUGAAGAAACAGAUAAUUAUGACUCGGAAGAUAGUGAAACAUAUUCAGAAAUUCUAGAAAACAUAGGAAAACUAGAAAUUAAUGAGGAACAAGAAAUAACUAAUAAAGAAAAUCUAGAACUAAUAAAUACAGAAGUAAAUACUCUAAAUAAAAAUAUAAUACUUAGUACAGCAGAAAUAAGAAAACCAACCUAUAAUUACAAAAAUAAGUUUAAAAUAUAUAAUCCAAAGUAAUAUAAUAAAUGGACACCAAAAUAAAUAAUUAAUUAUAACUUUUUAGAUUUAUAUUGUGUAAUAGACACAAAUAAAAUAAUACAACUAUGGGUAGGAUAUAUGUCAAAAUAAUUAUUAGAUAAUAAAAUAGAUACAACAAACACACCGAAAUAUAUAGAAAAAACAUUAAUAAGAACAGCAAAAUUAUGGUUUUUAAAUCUAGCCGAAGCAAUUAAAAAAGUAUUCAGAUCUGAUAAUAAAAUAGAAGGAACAUUAACAACAACUAAAAUACCACCAACAGAAAUAGUAAAAAAAUGUGAAAUAGCUAUAAGACAUGAAUUUAGCAGUGUAACAACAGAAGAAGAGCAAAAUAAAGAAAAAGAUAUAAAUAGAAAUUUAAUGUUAAAACUAGCAAUAUAUAAUAUGUGCUAUAUAGAUGAGUAUACGUGCGCAUUUUAAGAAUAUUAUUAUAAAGGAACAUAUAAUAUAGAAGAAAGUAAAGAAAUAAGAAGAUUAUAGUUUAGUAAAUUACCCGAACCAUUUAGUUCAAAAAUAAUAAACAGUUGGGAUGAAGCAAAAAUAGUAGAUACCCUAGGAGUAAGAAUAAAAUUUUUACAACAAUGGUAUAUAAAUCUAUGAGAAAAAUAUAGAGAAGAAAUAAAAAUGAAAAAAACAUUACUAAGAAAUUUAGCAUGUUGCAAAGAUAAAAUAGCACCUAAAUUUGGAUGUGAAGAAAGAUAUUAUAAGAAAAGAAACAGACAUAAGAAAUACAAGAAAUACAAAAAAUCAAAAUAUAAAUAUAAGAAACCAAGAAAAAGAUAUUAUGUAAAAAAUUUCCAUAUAGGAAAAAAAAUCUAUAAAAGAAUGUACUUGUUAUGAUUGUGGAAAACUAGGACAUUUAGCUAGACAUUGUAAAUUGCCAAAAAAACCCGAAAAAGCAACAAAUAUCAGAAAUAAAAAUAGAAAAUACAGAAUAUAUACAGAUAGAUUAUAUAGAUUAUGAAUAAGAAAGUGAAGAUAGUAUAUAUAAAAUUUUGAAGAAUGAAACAGAUCAUGAAAUAGAUAGUGAAUUAGAUGAAUCAAAUGGCAGAUAUAAAAAUAAACCAAAUAACUGAAGAAGAUACAAAAAUAAUAACAAAGGAAGAAUAUUUAAAUGAAAAAAGAACAGACGAAAAAAUAAUAUUUGAUAAUAAUAUAUUUGACGAAAUAAAAAGAAAAGAGUUAGACUUAAGUGUAGUGAAAAUAUUUAAAAUACCAACAACAAAAAAUAUAUUUAGUAGAAAAAGGGAAGAAUACUAUGUAGUAAGCCAAAAAGAACAUGUAAUAGAUUGUAGAUAUGCAAAAGGAAGAGAUAGUAUACCACUAGUAACAAAGAGAAUGAUUAAUAAAGAAAUAAAUGAUAUAAAAAGUAAAGACCCUAUAAAAUAUGUACACCUUGGAGGAACAGCGAUAUUAAUAAAAGCAUGUUUUAGAGAAGGAAUAGAUACACCAAUAGAAUUAUAUUUAGCAGAUGAUAGAAUUACAAAACCUAUAGAAAAAAAUAUAAUAACUACCAUAAAAGCAAAUUUAAUAUGCCAAAAAUUUAAAUUUAUAAUAAGUGUGAAUUAUUCAGUAGCAAUAACAGAUAAAAAUAUAGAUAAAUCAUUAGUAUUAUAUAGGAAAAUAUCAGGAAUAGAACUAACCCCAGGAAGUAAAAUAUGUACAUCAAGAUAUAAAAAUCUAUAUGUAUUAACAACAAAACAUAAAAUAACAGAAAAAUAAAAUUACUUAAAUAGAAAUAGAAAGUCCUUUUGAACAAUUCGUAAAAAUAAUUGAUAAUAAUGAUUAUAGUUACAAAAAUAGAGACAGAAGAAGAUUUAGAAAUAAUAAAUGAUAGAAUAAGUACAUCAAAAAGAAUAGCUCAUGAAAAAACAGAAUCAUCAAGCUCGUCAAAAAGAACAAGUUAUGAAACAACUUCAACAGUUAAUUUAAACUAAUAUUACAUAACAGGAACAAUAAAUGAAAAAGAAUAUUUAAUACUCUUAAACACAGGACAAGAAGAAAAUUGUAUAGCAAAAUAUCUAGUAAAAAGUGAAAAAAAAAAUCUAAUAGUAAUAUAUGCUCAGAUCUGCCAAGGAGUCUAAUAAACAUUAGGGAUACACCAGAAAAAGAAAUAAUAAUAGGAGUUAGAAAAAUAAAAAUAUGAUUUGGAAUAAAGGAAGAAAUGCAAAAAGCAAACAUAAUAUUAGGAAUAAAAUGGUUAGAAUAAGUAAAACCAUACAAUAUAGAACAUACACAAUUAUCUAUAACAUAUAAUAAAGAAAGACUAUUCAUAAAAAGAGCUUUAACAUGAUAUGAAAGUAAUGAUAUGCAAAUAUAUGUACUUGUAAAAAUAAUAGUAAAAGGCUAUUAUAAUAGGUAUUAUACACAUAUGAUAGAUACAGGAGUAAAAACAAACUUAUGUAGAUACAACUGUUUACCAGAAGGUAAAUGGGAUAAGCUAAAAGUACCAAUAAUUGUCAAAGGAUUUAAUAAUGAAGGAAGCUUAAUUACAUAUAAAGAUAAGAAUGUAAAAAUACAGAUAUAAGAUAAAAUAAUAACGAUAGAAGAAAUCUAUAAUUAUGAAUUAACAUCAAAAGAUAUGCUUUUAGGAAUGCACUUUGGAUUUAAUAAUGAAGGAAGCUUAAUUACUUAUAAAGCUAGGAAUGUAAAAAUACAAGUAUGGGAUAAGAUAUUAACAAUAGAAGAAAUUUAUAAUUAUGAAUUAACAUCAAAAGAUAUACUUUUAGGAAUGCCAUUUUUAGAUAAAUUAUACCCACAUAUAAUAACCAAAACAGACUGGUGGUUUACAACACCAUGCAAACAAAAAGUAAGAGCAAAAAGAGUUAAUAAUAAAAUAAGAAAGAAAACUGAUUGGAUAAAAGGAAGUGAAAAAAUUACACAAAAGUUAGAAAAUAUAAACAAUACUGAAGAUACAGUAGAACUAGUAGUAUUUUCGAUAAAUAAAACAGAAAUAACUAUAUUUUCAAUAAAUAAAAUAGAAAUAAUUCAGAAAAAAUUAGAACAAUUAUAUAGUGAAGAUCCAUUAAAAGGAUGGGAAAAACACAAAACUACUAUAAAAAUUGAAUUAAUAGAUAAGAAUAGCAUAAUAACACAAAAACCAUUAACAUAUAAUUUUGAUGAUUUAAAAGAAUUUAAAAUGCACAUAGAUGAAUUAUUAGAAAAACAAUAUAUACAAAAAAGUAAUAGUAAACAUAAUAGUCCAGCAUUUAUAGUAAAUAAACAUAGUGAACAAAAAAGAGGAAAAAGUAGGAUGGUUAUUGACUAUAGAAAUUUAAAUGCAAAAACUAUAACAUAUAAUUAUCCGAUACCAAAUAAGAUAUUAAAAAUAAGACAAAUCCAAGGAUAUAAUUAUUUUAGCAAAUUUGAUUGUAAAUCAGGAUUUUACCACCUAAAGCUAGAAGAAGAAUCUAAAGAAUUAACCGCAUUUACGGUACCACAAGGAUUUUAUGAAUGGAACGUGUUACCCUUUGGAUAUAAAAAUGCACCAGGUAGAUAUCAACAUUUUAUGGAUAAUUAUUUUAAACAAUUAUCUAAUUGUAUAGUAUACAUAGAUGAUAUAUUAUUAUAUACAAAAACUAAAGAAGAACAUUUAAAAUUAUUAGAACAGUUCACAGAUAUAAUAGAAAAAUCAGGAAUAAGUCUAAGCAAAAAGAAAGCUGAAAUUAUGAAAAACCAGAUAGAAUUUUUAGGAAUACAAAUAGAUAAAAGUGGACUAAGAAUGCAACAACAUAUAGUACAAAAAAUAAUAAAUUCAAAAGAAGAAUUAGAUACAAAAAAGAAAUUACAAUCAUUUUUAGGAUUAGUAAACCAAGUAAGAGAAUACAUACUAAAAUUAGCAGAAAACCUAAAGCCCUUAUAGAAAAAAUUAAAAAAGGAUGUAGAAUAUAAUUACAAUAAAGAAGACAAAAAACAAGUCCAGAAAAUAAAAAUACUUUGUAAAGAGUUACCAAAAUUACAAUUUCCAGACGAAAAUAAAAAAUUUAUAUAUAUAGUAGAAGCAGAUGCUAGUGAAUAUAGUUAUGGAGGAGUACUUAAAUAUAGAUAUGAAGAAAAAAAUUAGAACACCAUUGUAGAUACUACUCAGGUACAUUUAAUGAAACAGAAAUAUAAUAGGAAAUAAAUAGAAAAGAAUUAUGUUCAUUAUAUAAAUUUUUAUUAGCAUUUGAACCAUAUAUUGUAUAUAAAAAAAUUAUUGUGAGGAUAGAUAAUACCCAGGUUCGAUGGAGGUUAACAAGAAAAAUACAAAACUCAGUUACGACGAAGAAAAUUUGGAGAUUAGUAUUGAAUAUAUUACAUUUUACAUUUACGAUUGAAGUAAUCAAGACUGAUAAGAAUGUUAUUGCAGAUUACAUAUCAAGACAAAGCUACUCAAACUGAUUUACCAAUGGAAGAAGCUGAUGUCAAAGAUACCCAAAUAGACUUAAUAUUACAACUGUUUGAACAAAUAAAGUUAUUAUAAGAACGAGUUAUCACAUUAACUACUGAAGUUACAGAUGUAAAAGAGCAGGUUGAGCACUAUAAAAAACAAGAAAAAGCUAUUAGCAAAGAUACUGUGCAGCAAAAACACAUUAAAAACUAGACCUAGAAGGUGACGAUGAGAAACAUCUAAAAACUCAAAUUACUAACGAAAUUACAAUUACAGCUGCAGGCGCAGAAGAUGUAUCCAAAGAAAAGAAUAUAGUCACUCAAAAUAAACCUGAACCACCAAAGAAAAAGAAUUAUAACCUCAACUAGAUAUUCUCGAAACCAUAUACACCAAAUAUACAAAAAUCAGAGUCAUCUAUACCUCCCCAGAUUCACACAUAUUCCUAAUCACUCAAUCAAUAAAAACAGACUUAUAAUCGUAUCACUCGUACAUAUAUUGAUAAUAUUUAUACUUUACAAAAAUUGUUAAAUACAAAACCUAUCUAGAGUAAAGAUUUAGCAAAACAACACCAAGGAUAUAUUACACAAAAAUGUCAGAACUAUAACAAACUUAUGGCUUUGCCUGGCACCAGUGCUAACUUAAUUACUUCAUGUUACUAUUAUGAAUUAUUAUCUAAAGUUUACACAACUGCUGGAGAAGAGUUAACAGGAAUUCCAGACAUUUAUAGAGGAUUUAUGGAGUAUUUAUUUCUGUGUUUGUAUUUUCUAAGUUUUCUUUAUUAAUUACUUCUUGUUUUUCAUGAAUAUUUUAUCCAUAAAGUUAUCCUUGUUUUUCUCUAACUCUUUUAAUAUAUUCUAAUAUUUUUAAUCUGUAUAAUACCUAUCUGAAUAAUAACUAUUAUUAUCUAAGUAAUAACUAUCUGAAUAAUAUAAACUAAGAUCAUGCAUAUCUUCUAACCAUUCAAGACUUAAUGAUUCUUCAUAAAAUAUUUUUCCCAUAUUAUUUUCUUUAUGUCUUCUAAUUCUAAGUCUUUUAUGAUAUAUAAAAUGAGUAUCUUAAUUUCAUCAGAUAUAUAACUUGUCAUAUUAUUCAUAUGAUACUUAGGUUUCUAUGAAUAACUUGGAUAACUUGGAAUUGAAUUCUAGUAAUUAAAUGCUUUAUCAUAGUAUUUAUUAGUUGUUUGUUUUAAUCUUAAUAAUUCUUGUAUAUUUUCAUUAAGAAAUUCUAUAUAUUUUAUAUCCUUAGUUCUCAUAUAUUUUUCUAGAUUGGUUUUCACUAGUUUUACUACUAAUUUUAUAUUUUUCAUAUCAAUUUUUCAAUAUUCUAAAUAUACGUAAUUUAUCAUGGUUGAUAUGUAGAGUUGGUAUGUAGGUAUUUGUAAGAAUAGGUAGGUAGGUGUGGUAUGGAAUUUAUUCUAGUCAUAAAAUAUUUACCAAAUAUUUUUUCUAUUAUGAUUUUUCUUAAUCAACAAUUUCUAUAUCCUUGAGUGCAUACAAAACAAGUAUUUUAAAUUUAUCUACCAUUUCGUCAAAUAAAUAAGAAUUCAUUUUUCAUAUGAUGCUUUUUUCAAAAUAUUCCCUUCAAUCAUACACAUAACAAAAUAUGAUCAUUUUAGAUUACUAUAUACUAGAUUAUUCUUAAAUAACAUGUUCUUCGGUCAUUAUUAGCACGGUAAUCUGUAUACUUUUCUCUUAAACAGUGCCUCUACUCUGGCAACUCCCCAUCACGGCUUUCUUGCCUCCCCGAUUUCACCUUUAGGAAAGCAUAGUUCUUAGGGAUUUUUCUCCUUUUUCACUUUGCUAAUAAACUUUGUAACAUAUUAUUUUUCAAAUAAUUCUACUAAAAAGUAACUAUCAUGAACUUAUUUUAUCAUAUCAUGAUUGUCAAUAAUUUAUGAAUUUAGCUAUUCAUAAUCGUAAAUAAAUAUACCUGUUCUGGUAGGUUUGAUAAUUCUGGGCUUUGUUUAUCCAUAGCUUUUCCUUGGAAAUAUAUCUAUUUUUUAUUAAAUAUUCAAAAGUUUUUUGUUUUGUGUACAAAGGAGAAGGCUUGCUUUCAACACAUGAAAGUCUUGCCUUUAACUUAGCUGGAUGGCUUACAUAUUUAUAAGAGAAAAAGAAACUAUUCCUAAUUUACAUGUUUUACAUGUAAACUAUUUUAUACUUUACACUUGUCCUAUCUGCAAAAGACUUUACAAAAAAUCUUAAGACUAUUCUACAAAACAACAAAAUUAAUAAAGACUAAAACUAUACAAUAAUGGCACUUUGCCAUAGAAAAGUCAAAAAGUUAUCAAAAACUAGUAAAUGCUAUAAUAACUUACAUAUCUAAAGUCAAGGAAACUAUUCACAUGUCAUUUUCUUUCAUAACUUUUACUAUUUUGUCUUCUUUCUCUUCCCUUAUUGCUCCGUUGAUUUUCUCUUCUAGCUGGCGACCUUAUCUUCUUGGUUGAUUUUUUCUUUUAUUCUAGGUAGACUUUCGGGAUAAUAUUAUCUUCUCCAUUACAUCUCGAAUAUUGAUGGUCUGGAUAUUUAUGUCCAAUUAUCUUGCAAUAUCUUGUUAAUAAUUCUUCUGAAAUAAAUCCUUCCCUAAUUGCUCUUGCAGUUUGUUGUUUCUCUGGGUUGAGUAAUGUUAGAAUCCAUUGUCUAGCAUCUUCCAUAUCUUUUUGUUUUAGUUCUUUUGAAUUUAAAUAAAUCAUUUGGUGAUCUCUUGAAUAAUAGCUCCAUAUUGGGUUUCCACUGAUAUAAUUAUUUGCUAAUUCUUGAACAAUUAUAGCUAUUCCAAUAAGUCAUUUAUUUGCAUAGAAAUCAGGUAUCUCAGUUUUAGGUAUCUCUGGCUGCUGAACAAUAUUUUUUGGUAUAAUCAUAUCUCUGGUUAAUCCUAUUUUUACAAUUUGUAUAACUGGUUUGAUCUCGUCAUAGAAUAUUUCUGCUGGUGCAGUAUAAAACUUUAUAAAAAAUAAAUUCCCUUUGAUUAUUCUUUUAUAAAUGGUGAAUUCUCUAUGUAAUUCUGGUAUAGCUGAUAGUUCAUCUCCAUCUUGGGUAUAUACGGUAUUUAAUAAUCCAUAACUGAAACAAGUUUUAACUAAGGUUGGGUUGGUUUUAGGUAGUGCGAUUAACUUGUUGUAACCUUGCAAUUUUUGGGUUAGUUCGUAUUUGGUUCUUGGAUAUCUGUGGCUCUGGGUUUAAGGUUUAGAUAAGUUUGCAUUUUGUGGAUAUUUUUUAUGUAUGCUAGGGUUAUAUGGUUAUACGCUUUUUAUCUUGGUUCAAACUUUCUCGAUAUGUGGUAAUUUUUGGGGGUAUGUACAAGGGGUCUUUUUGUGUUUUAGGUACAAAUAGUUUUUCAAAUAUCUUAUUCAUGUUCAUGUUCUGGUAUCUUUGUCCACUAACUCCUUUGCUUGUACCUAAAAUUGUAGAUUGAUAAACGUUAUGGGUUUUAUGGAGUGUCCCAGCGUCUCCUUUUAGCUUUGAAAUUUUAUUGUCUUUCGAUCGACAUAGCUUUGGACACUACUGAGUUAGCUGAUUCAUUGCUUUAGAUUUCAGUUUAACUUCAUUAGUCUGUAGCUUUUCUAUUUCAUUACCUAUACCGUCCACUUUUAUUGAAAGCGUAGUUAGAGUUUUGAAUAUUUUUUCUAAAGCACCAUCUUCUAUUAUAUCAGUUUGUGUAACUUUGUCUUGAUAUGUAAUCUGCAAUAACAUUUUUGUUAGUACUAAUUACUUUAAUUGUAAAUGUAAAAUUUAAUAUAUUCACUACUAGUCUAUGAAUUUCUUUCAUUGUAACUGAAUUUUGUAUUUACUUUGUUAACCACCAACGUACCUGUGUAUUAUAUGUUCGUACAAUAAAUUUGUUGUAUACAAUAUAUGGCUCAAAUGCUAAUAAACAUUUAUAUAAUGAACAUAAUUCUUUUCUAUUUCUUUUCCAUUUUAUUUUUGUUUCAUUAGACGUACCUGAGUAGUAUCUACAAUGAUGUUCUAAUUUUUCUUCUUCAUAUCUAUAUUUAAGUACUCCUCCAUAACUAUAUUCACUAGCAUCUGCUUCUACUAUCUAUAUAAAUUUUUUAUUUUUGUCUGAAAAUUAUAAUUUUGGUAACUCUUUACAAAUUAUUUUUAUUUUCUGUACUUGUUUUUUAUCUUCUUCGUUAUAAUUAUAUUUUACAUCCUUUUUUAAUUUUUUCUGUAAUAAUUUUGGAAUAUAUUCUCUUACUUGAAUUACUACUCCUAAAAAUGAUUAUAAUUUCUUUUUUGUAUCUAAUUCUUCUUUUGAAUUUAUUUUUUGUACUAUAUGUUGUUGCAUUUUUACUCCACUUUUAUCUAUUUGUAUUCCUAAAAACUCUAUAUGAUUUUUCAUAAUUUUGGCUUUCUUUACACUUAAAUUUAUUCUCAAUUUCUAUUAUAUCUGUAAAUUGUUCUAAUAAUUUUAAAUGUUCCUCUUUAUUUUUUGUAUAUAGUAGUAUAUCAUCUAUGUAUACUAUACAAUUAGGUAAUGUUUAAAAUAACUAUCCAUAAAGUGUUGGUAUCUAUGUGGUACAUUUUUAUAUCCAAAUGGUAAUACGUUCCAUUCAUAAAAUUCUUGUGGUACCGUAAAUGUGGUUAAUUUCUUAGAAUUUUCAUCUAACUUUAAGUGGUAAAAUCCUGAUUUACAAUCAAAUUUAGUAAAGUAGUUAUAUCCUUGUAUUUUUCUUAUUUUUAAUAUCUUAUUUGGUAUUGGAUAAUUGUAUGUCAUAGUUUUUUUUAUUUAAAUUUCUAUAGUCAAUCACCAUUCUACUUUUUCCUCUUUUUUGUUCACUAUGUUUAUUUACUAUAAACGCUGUGCUAUUAUGUUUACUAUUGUUUCUUUGUUUAUACUAUUUUUCUAAUAAUUCAUCUAUAUGCAUUUUAAAUUCUUUUAAAUCGUCAAAAUUAUAUGUUAAUGGGUUUUGAGUUAUUAUGCUAUUUUUAUCUAUUAAUUCAAUUAUUAUAGUAGUUUUAUGUUUUUCCCAUCAUUUUAAUGGAUCUUUACUAUAUAAUUGUCUUAAUUUUUUCUUUAUUAUUUCUACCUUAUCUAUUGAAAAUAUCUUUUUGCUCUUACUUUUUGUUUACAUGGGGUUGUAAACCACCAAUCUGUUUUAGUUAUUAUAUGUGGGUAUAAUUUAUCUAAAAAUGACAUUUCUAAAAGCAUAUCUUUUGAUGUUAGUUCAUAAUUAUAGAUUUCUUCUAUUGUUAUUAUUUUAUCCCAUAUCUGUAUUUUUACAUUCUUAGCUUUAUAUGUAAUUAAGCUUCCUUCAUUAUUAAAUCCUUUGACUACUAUUGGUGUUUUUAAUUUCUCUCAAUUACUUUCUGGUAACCAGUUGUAUCCACAUAAGUUUGCUUUUGCUCCUGUAUCUAUCAUAGGCGUAUAAUACCUAUUAUAAUAUCCUUCUAUUAUUAUUUUUACAUGUGCAUAUAUUUUCAUAUCAUGUUAAAACUCUUUUUAUGAAUAAUCUUUCUUUAUUAUAUAUUAUAGAGAAUUGUGUAUGUUCUAUAUUGUAUGAUUUUACUUGUUCUAACUGUUUUAUUCCUAAUAUUAUGUCUUCUUUUUGCAUAUUUUCCUUUAUUUCAAAUUCUAUUUUUAUUUUUCUAAAUUCUAUUAUUAUUUUCUUUUCAGCUAUAUCCUUAAUGUAUAUUAGACUCCUUGGUAGAUCUGGGCAUAUAUUACUAUGAGAUUUUAUUUCUUCACUUUUUACUAGAUAUUUUGCUAUAUAAUUUUCUUCUUGUCCUGUGUUUAAGAGUAUUAAAUAUUAUUUUUCAUUUAUUGCUCCUGUUAUGUAAUAUUGAUUUAAAUUAACUGUUGAAGUUGUUUCAUAACUUGUUCUUUUUUAUGAGCUUGAUGAUUCUAGUUUUUCAUGAGCUAUUCUUUUUGAUGUACUUAUUCUAUCAUUUAUUAUUUCUAAAUCUUCUUCUAUAUAUGUCUUUGUAACUAUAAUCAUUAUUAUCAAUUGUUUUACAAAUUGUUCAAAAGAACUUUCUAUUUGUAUUUUAUUAAUUUUAUUUUUUCCUGUUAUUUUAUGUUUUGUUGUUAAUACAUAUAGAUUUUUACAUCUUGCUAUAAAUAUCUUACUUCCUGGGGUUAGUUCUAUCCCUGAUAUUUUUCAAUAUAAUACUAAUGAUUUAUCUAUAUUUUUAUCUGNNNNNNNNNNNNNNNNNNNNNNNNNNNNNNNNNNNNNNNNNNNNNNNNNNNNNNNNNNNNNNNNNNNNNNNNNNNNNNNNNNNNNNNNNNNNNNNNNNNNNNNNNNNNNNNNNNNNNNNNNNNNNNNNNNNNNNNNNNNNNNNNNNNNNNNNNNNNNNNNNNNNNNNNNNNNNNNNNNNNNNNNNNNNNNNNNNNNNNNNNNNNNNNNNNNNNNNNNNNNNNNNNNNNNNNNNNNNNNNNNNNNNNNNNNNNNNNNNNNNNNNNNNNNNNNNNNNNNNNNNNNNNNNNNNNNNNNNNNNNNNNNNNNNNNNNNNNNNNNNNNNNNNNNNNNNNNNNNNNNNNNNNNNNNNNNNNNNNNNNNNNNNNNNNNNNNNNNNNNNNNNNNNNNNNNNNNNNNNNNNNNNNNNNNNNNNNNNNNNNNNNNNNNNNNNNNNNNNNNNNNNNNNNNNNNNNNNNNNNNNNNNNNNNNNNNNNNNNNNNNNNNNNNNNNNNNNNNNNNNAAUAUCAAAUAUAGAAACAACAAUAGAGAGUCUAGAAUAUAUAUAUAUAUAUAUAUAUAUAUAUAUAUAUAUUAAAAUAACCUAUAUAUAUCUAAAUAAAAUGAACAAAGAAGAAUUUAUAAUAGAUGAAAAACAUAUAAAAAUCACGAACGAUCAAAAUUAAAAUAGUAUUCUCUAAUCUAGGAAGAAGAUAUAAGAAAAUAGGUGAACAUUUAUAUUUAAUGUUAGUAAAAGAAGAAUUAAAAUUAGAAGAUAAGUUGGCAGCCAUGGUAAAAAUUGAAAGAGAAAACGAAGAGAUAAACAGAAAAAAGGAAAUAUAUAAAAUAAACAACAAACCAUAGAAGAAAUAUGAAAAAUAGAAGAAACUAAAAAUAGUAGGAUUGUUGAAUUAGAAAAAGAACUAAAAAUGCUAAAAGAUUUGUAUGAAAAAAAGAAGAAAGAAAAAGAAGCAAAAGAUAAAGAACAAAAAUUAUAAAUUGAGAUAAAUCAAUUUAAAUAAAAAUUAGAAAGAGAAAAUAAAGAAUUAGAAACCAGUGAAUUAGAAAUAAAUACAAUAGAUGCAGAAGAAACAGAUAAUUAUGACUCGGAAUAUAGUGAAACAUAUACAGAAAUUUUAGAAAACAUAAGAAAACUAGAAAUUAAUGAAAAACAAGAAGUAUUUAGUAAAGAAAAUCUAGAACUAAGAAAUACAAAAGUAAAUACUCUAGAUAAAAAUAUAAUACCUAGUACAUUAGAAAUAAGAAAACCAAUCUAUAGUUACAAAAAUAAGUUUAAGGAUGAAUAAUAAAUGGACACAAAAAUAAAUAAUUAAUUACAACUUUUUAGAUUUAGACUGUGUAAUGGACACAAAUAAAACAAUACAACUAUGGGUACGAUAUAUGUCAAAACAAUUAUUAGAUAAUAAAAUAGAUACAACAAACACACCGGAAUAUAUAAAAAAGACAUUAAUAGGAACAUAAAAAUUAUGGUUUUUAAACCUAGCCAAAGCAAGUUAAAAAGUAUUAAGAUCUGAUAAUAAAACAGAAGAAACAUCAACAACAACUACCAACAGAAAUAUUGAAAAAAUAUGAAAUAGCUAUAAGAGAUGAAUUUAGCAGUGUAACAACAGAAAAAGAGCAAAAUAAAUAAAAAGAUAUAAAUAGAUAUUUAAUGUUAAAACUAGCAUAUGUAAUAUGUGCUAUAUAGAUGAGUAUACGUGCGCAUUUUAAGAAUAUUAUUAUAAAGGAGCAUAAAAUAUAGAAGAAAGUAAAAAAAUAAGAAGAUUAUAUUUUAGUAAAUUACCCGAACCAUUUAGUUCAAAAAUAAUAAAAAGUUGGGAUGAAGCAAAAAUAGUAAAUACCCUAGGAGCAAGAAUAAAAUUUUUACAACAAUGAUAUAGCAAUCUAUUUGAAAAGUAUAGAGAAGAAAUAAAAAUGGAAAAACAUUAAUAAGAAAUUUAUCAUGUUGCAAAGAUAAUAUAGGACCUCAAUUUGGAUGUGAAGAAAGAUAUUAUAAGAAAAAAGAAAAAGACAUAAGAAAUACAAGAAAUCAAAAUAUAAGUAUAAGAAACCAAGAAAAAAAUAUUAUGUAAAAAAAUUAUAAACAUAAAAGACCAUAUAGGAAAAAGAAAUCUAUAAAAAAAAAUGUACUUGUUAUAAUUGUGGAAAACUAGGACAUUUAGCUAGAGAUUUUAAAAUACCUAAAAAUCCAAAAACGAAACAAAUAUCAGAAAUAAAGAUAGAAUAUAUGCAGAUAGAUUAUAUAGAUUAUGAAUUAGAAGUGAAGAUAGUAUAUAUAAAAUUUCAGAGAAUUAAUUAGAUAAUGAAAUAGAUAGUGAAUUAAAUAAAUCAAAUGACUGAAGAAGAUAUAAAAAUAAUAACAAUGGAAGAAUACUACGUAGUAAAUCAAAAAGAACAAGUAAUAGACUGUAGAUAUGCAAAAGGAAGAGCUAGUAUACCACUAGUAAUAAAGAAUAAUUAAUAAAGAAAUAAACGACAUAAAAAACAAAGACCCAAUAAAAUAUGUACACCUUGGAGGAACAGAGAUAUUAAUAAAAGCAUGUUUUAGAGAAGGAAAUAGAUACACUAAUUGAAUUAUAUUUAGCAGAUGAUAGAAUUAUAAAAUCUUUAGAAAAAAGUAUAAUAACUGUUAUAAAAGGAAAUUUAAUAUACCAAAAAUUUAAAUUUAUAAUAAGUGCGAAUUAUUCAAUAGCAAUAAAAGAUAAAAAUAUAGAUAAAUCAUUAGUAUUAUAUUGGAAAAUAUCAAGAAUAGAACUAACCCCAGGAAGUAAAAUAUUUAUAGCAAGAUGUAAAAAUCUAUAUGUAUUAACAAAAAAACAUAAAAUAACAGAAAAAAUAAAUUUAAUUAAAUACAAAUAGAAAGUCCUUUUGAACAAUUCGUAAAAACAAUUGAUAAUAAUGAUUAUAGUUACAAAAAUAUAGACAUAGAAGAAGAUUUAUAAAUAAUAAAUGAAAGAAUAAAUAUAGCAAAAAGAAUAGCUCAUGAAAAAACAGAAUCAUCAAGCUCGUCAAAAAGAACAAGUUAUGAAACAACUUCAACGGUUAAUUUAAACUAAUACUACAUAACAGGAACAAUAAAUGAAAAAGAAUAUUCAAUACUCUUUAACACAAAAUUAUAUAGCAAAAUAUCUAGUAAAAAGUGAAGAAAUAAAAUCUAAUAGUAAUAUAUGCCCAGAUCUACCAACGAGUCUAAUAUACAUUAAAGAUAUAGCUGAAAAGGAAAUAAUAAUAGAAUUUAGAAAAAUAAAAAUAGAAUUUGAAAUAAAGGAAAAUAUGCAAAAAGGAGACAUAAUAUUAGGAAUAAAAUAGUUAGAACAAGUAAAAUUAUACAAUAUAGAACAUACACAAUUAUCUAUAACAUAUAAUAAAGAAAGAUUAUUCGUAAAAAGAGUUUUAACAUGAUAUGAAAAUAUAUGCACUUGUAAAAAUAAUAAUAGAAGGAUAUUAUAAUAGGUAUUAUACACUUAUGAUAGAUACAGGAGCAGAAGCAAACUUAUGUAGAUACAACUGUUUAUCAGAAAGUAAAUGAGAUAAAUUAAAAACACCAUUAUUAGUCAAAGGAUUUAAUAAUGAAGGAGGUUUAAUUACAUAUAAAGCUAAAAGUGUAAAAAUACAGAUAUGGGAUAAAAUAAUAACAAUAGAAGAAAUCUAUAAUUAUGAACUAACAUCAAAAGAUAUGCUUUUAGGAAUGUCAUUUUUAGAUAAAUUAUACCCACAUAUAAUAACUAAAUCAGAUUGAUGGUUUACAACACCAUGUAAAAAAAAAGUAAGAGCAAAAAGAGUUACUAAUAAAAUAAGAAAGAAAACUGAUUGGAUAAAAGGAAAUGAAAAAAUUACACAAAAGUUAGAAAAGAUAAAAAAUACAGAAGAUACAGUUGAACUUAUUGUAUUUUCGAUAAAUAAAAUAGAAAUAACUAUACUUUCAAUAGAUAAGAUAGAAAUAAUAAAGAAAAGAUUAAGAUAAUUAUAUAGUGAAGAUUCAUUAAAAGGAUGGGAAAAACACAAAACUACUAUAAAAAUUGAAUUGAUAGAUAAAAAUAGAAUAAUAACUUAAAGUUUGAUGAAAAUUCUAAGGAAUUAACCGCAUUUACGGUACCACAAGGAUUUUAUGAAUGGAACGUACUACCAUUUGGAUAUAAAAGUGCACCAGGUAGAUACCAACAUUUUAUGGAUAGUUACUUUAAACAAUUACCUAAUUGUAUAGUACACAUAGAUGAUAUACUACUAUAUACAAAAACUCAAGAGAAACAUUUAAAAUUAUUAGAACAAUUUAUAUAUAUAAUAGAAAAAUCAGGAAUAAGUUUAAGUGAAAAGAAAGCCGAAAUUAUGAAAAACCAAAUAGAGUUUUUAGGAAUACAAAUAGAUAAAAGUGGAGUAAAAAAGCAACAAUAUAUAGUACAAAAAAUAAUAAAUUCAAAAGAAGAAUUAGAUAGAAAAAAGAAAUUAUAAUCAUUUUUAGGAUUAGUAAACCAAGUAAGAUAAUAUAUACCCAAAUUAGCAGAAAACCUAAAGCCUUUAUGGAAAAAAUUUAAAAAGGAUUUAGAAUAUAAUUACACGGAAGAAGAUAAAAAACAAGUUCAGAAAAUAAAAAUACUUUGUAAAGAAUUACCAAAAUUACAAUUCCCAGAUGAAAAUAAAAAAUUUACAUAUAUAGUAGAAGAAGACGCAAGUGAAUAUAGUUAUGGAGGAGUACUUAACUAUAGAUAUGAAGAAGAAAAAUUAGAACACCAUUGUAGAUACUACUCAGGUACAUUUAAUGAAACAAAAAUAAAAUAGAAAAUAAAUAGAAAAGAAUUAUGUUCAUUAUAUAAAUGUUUAUUAGCAUUUAAACCAUAUAUUGUAUACAACAAAUUUUUUGUGAGAGCAGAUAAUACCCAAGUUCGAUGGUGGUUAACAAGAAAAAUACAAAAUUCAGUUACGACAAAGGAAAUUCAGAGAUUAGUAUUGAAUAUAUUAAAUUUUACAUUUACGAUUGAAGUAAUCAAGACUGACAAGAAUGUUAUUGCAGAUUACAUAUCAAGACAAAGCUACUCAAACAGAUUUACCAAUGAAAGAAGCUGAUGUCAAAGAUACCCAAAUAGACUUAAUAUUACAAGUAUUUAAAUAAAUGAAGUUAUUACAAGAAUAAGUUAUCACAUUAACUACUGAAGUUACAGAUGUAAAAGUGCAGGUUGAGCACUAUAAAAAACAAGAAAAAGCUAUUAGCAAAGAUACUAUGCAGGAAAAGCACAUUAAAAAACUAGACCUAGAAGGUGACGAUGAGAAACACCUAAAACCUCAAACAGAUAUUCUCAAAACCAUAUACACCAAAUAUACAAAAAUCAGAGUCAUCCAUACCUCCUCAGAUACACACAUAUUCCGAAUCACUCAAUCAAUAAAAGCAAACUUAUAACCAUAUCACUCGUACAUAUAUUGAUUAUAUUUAUACUUUACAAAAAUUGUUAAAUACAAAACCUAUCCAGAGUAAAGAUUUAGCAAAACAACACCAAGGAUAUGUCACACAAAAAUGUCAGAACUAUAACAAACUUAUUGCUUUGCCUGGUACCAGUGCAAACUUAAUUACUUCAUGUUACUAUUAUGGAUUAUUAUCUACAGUUUACAUAGCUAUAGGAGAAAAGUUAACACGAAUUCCAGAUAUAUACAAAGGAUUUAUGAUUAUAAGAGGAUUACGAAGGGACGGUUAUUCUAUGUUCGUUUCUACUCAGCACUAGCAGAAAUAUUGUUUGAUGAAAUAAAAUAGGUAAUUACUGUUGUCAAGAUAGGAAUGACAUGAGAUUAUAUUAUCCCUGAAGAAAUAUGCGAACAAUAAGAAAUAACCAAAAAUUAGAUACCGAACUUCUACCGAAACAAGAGAGUUAUUGGACUUAGCAGUAUAUUAAUUGAGUUAGCAAAUAAUUGUAUAAAUCAAAACCCAGUUUGGAUAUACUAUAACAGAAAUCAAUUAUUGGUUUACUCUACUUGUAAAAGUAUUAUAGAAAAUGACAGAGAAGAGAUAAGAAAAUGGGUCAUAACUAUCCUAAAACAAGAAGAGUUAUCAGUCACAAGAUCUAUUACGAAAGGAGUUAUUUCAGAAAAAGCUAUGGAUCAAUUCUGUAAACAGGUUGGCCAAAGAUAUGAUGACCAUGUAUGCAACAGAUGUAGUGGCAAACAUAACUUUAUUCCAGAUGUGAUGCUACAAUAGCAAGAAGAUGAAAAAGCAGCAGAUACGAUAAGAAGAAGAUAAAAAAGAGACAGUAACAAAGCAAUGAUAGAAGAAGACAAAGCAUUAAAGAUAUGAAAUGACAUAUGAAGAAAAAGCUAAACUUCCUAUGUAAAUUAUUGUAAAGUAUUAAUAGCCUUUUUGACUUUUCUUUUCAUAUAUUAGGCUUUUUGACUUUUCGGCCAAAAAACUAUUAUUAGUUUUUGUUUUUUAGUUACCUUUAAGUCUUUAUUUUCAGAAUGUAAAGACUUAUUUGUAAAUUAGAAUACGUGUAAAGUAGGAACAGUAUAGAAAUAGUAUACACGUUUUUAUUUCUUAGGUUAUAAAUAGAGAGUGCACUUACUCAGAUAAGGGCAAGCCUUCAUGAGUUGAAGCAAAACCCUCUCUUGUACACAAAACUUUUGAAUUAUUUAAUAAAAACAGGUAUAUUUCCAAGAAAAAGCUAUGAAUUAUCAAACAAUUAUGGAAAAUCUAGAAUUAUCAGAUUUACCAGAAUAGGUAUUUAUAUUUGUGAUUAUGAAUAGCUAAAUUCAUAAAUUCCUGACAAUCAUGAUAUGAUAAAAUAAAUUUAUGUUACGUACUUUAUAGUAGAAUUAUUCGAAAAAUAGCAUGUUAAGAAGUUUAUUAGCAAAGUGGAAAAGGAGAAAAUUCCUAAAGAACUAUGUCAUCCUAAAGGUGAAACCCGUGAGGCAAGAAAGCCGUGAUAGGGGAGUAGCCAGAGUAGAGGCAUUGUUUAAGGGAAAAGUAUCCAGAUUACCAUGCUAACAGUGAUCGAAGAACAUGUUAUUUAAAAAUAAUCUAGUAUAUAGUAAUCUAAAAUGAUCAUAUUUUGUUAUGUAUGAUUGAAGGGAAUAUUUUGAAAAAGCAUCAUAUGAAAAAUGAAUACUUAUUUAUCUGACGAAAUGGUAGAUAAAUUUAAAAUACUUGUUUUGUAUGUAUUAAAGGAUAUAGAAAUUGUAGAUAUAAGAAAAAUCAUAUUGAAAAAAAUAUUUGAUAAAUAUUUUAUGACUAGAAUAAAUUGCAUACUACACCUACCUACCUACUAUUACAAAUACUUACAUACCAAACCUACACAUCAACCAUGCUAAAUUACGUAUAUUUAGAAUAUUGAAAAAUGGAUAUGAAAAAUAUACAAUUAGUAGAAAAACUAAUGGAAAUUGUAAUGAACUGAAUAUAUAUAUAUAUNNNNNNNNNNNNNNNNNNNNNAUAUAUAAAGAAAAAAAUUGAUGAAAUAUAUGAAGUUUGUGAUUUUGUGUGAUUUGACUAUUUUACCCCUCACUAUAGUUGUGUUAUGAUAUUUCUGGGGUGUGGGAGGGUUUGACAUAAUUUUUGAUGCAUUUUGGUAUCAUUUAUGCAAUAUUGUGGUUUUUGAUGGCUUUGAGAGCCUUAUUUUGGACUCAUGUGGUUAUAUUUUGAUCCGUGCGAUGGAUGACCAAAUGGACUGCGCCAGCAACUCUAGAAUAUCGGUUUUACGCUAGGUAGACCUUUGGUUCGAGUGCUGGUGCACCCGAGCUCAUUUCGACCUAUUGAUCGGAAAGUUGAAAAAUUAGAAAGUUGGGUGUGGGACCCACAUUUAGUCGAAAUGACCUUGUAUGGAAAAUACAACUUCGCCAGUAGAUCCAAAAUAUCAAUUUUAGUGUGUUAGUAUAUUUGGUAUGAUUUUACGACUUUUAAAUCUCAUUUUGACCCUCGAUUUGGAAAAUUGUGAUUUCAAAUUUCGGGGGUCAAUUUUGUGAAAAUGACUUUUUAUGGAAAAUAUGGUAUUGUCAUCGCGUCCGGAACGUCGAAUUUAGUGUGGUUGCAUAGUUUUUUUUGCAUAAAACAGACUCCGAACGAAUCUCGAGCACCCCGUUGAAGUCCAUUCGACUUAGAAAAAAAAGACUGCAUAGUUAUUGCAGAAAAAUCUACAAUUUAUAGCAGAUUUCUUUCACCUUUUCGGCCCAUUUUGCUCAUUUUUCAUCUUGCCUCUUGAGAGUUAAACCUUAAAUAGUUUGAGAGCUUGAAAGUGAAGUUUGUGAGAGUUUAGAAAGAUAGAUUAACAUCUUUUUCUUGGUUUUAUUACGGAUUUAAGGUAAGAAUUCAUCCAUUUUCUUAGUAAUUUCUUGAUAAAUUUCUCAAAACCCCAAAAAUAUUAGGGCAUGAUUAUAAAUCCAAAUUUCACUUAUUUUCACUUGAAUAGUACUUUUAUCUUAUAAUUACUAGUUUUUCAUUGAUUUAACCAUCAAAACAACUCUGAUUCUUGAUUUUAACCCGAAUUUUAAAUAUUUUACCCGGUAAAGCUCAAAAAUAGUUUUUCUUCGAUUUGAACCUCGUUUUUUACUCGGUUUAACUUGGGUUUUCAGCUGUAGGUUUCUAAAAACAUGGGGAACAUGUUUUUGAAGUAAAGUUUCAAUUUUGCCCUUCUUUUUUGAAAAUCUAUUUUGGGGGUCCGUUUUGAUCCUGAACCAAAAGUAGUCAAUAUGGGUGUAGUUGAUUUUAUUUUGACGCGUAUAUUUCAUAUUUGAUGUUUCUAGAGAAGUUAGGGAUUGUUCGUAAAAGGUAGGGUUGCAUGUUCAAGUGUAGUGGACCGAUUUCGACUUUUGAGAUAGGUUAUGGCUUAACUCUUAAGACUGGAAUGGGUAGUAAAUAAUGGUACAAAAUCCAUGUUAAGGGUGGGAACUAAUCAUAAAAAAUGGCUAUCUAUGUGCUGUGCCCGUGUGGGGGCCUAUAUGAGAUGUAAUUGUCGAAAUUGAAAUAUUAUGUGAUAUGUUUGACCGUGUGAGGUCCUAUGUGAUAUUGAUAGCCUUGAAUACAUAUGAAUAAUUGUAUUGUAUUAUUUAAUGUGGUACCAUUGGUGUAUUGUGAUUAUAUUCAUACUUUAUUGGUAUAUGAGACAUGUGGAAAUUCAUGGAUGAAACGAAAAUAAUGAAUGGAUAUUGGCUCAUGUGGUUGUGGAAAUGUAUCAUUAUGGUUGGUUGUGGAAAUAUAUCAUGUAGUUGGUUGUAGAAAUACUUAUUGUGAUUGGUUGUGUGUAUUGCAUCUUCAUAUCAUACUCAUUCAUGAAAUAUUGAUACUACCGUGGCAACAUUUGAGAAACACUGGCAACACCUUUUUAAAAAUAUUGUAACACCUUAUAAAACCCUUUCUGAGGGAUGUGUUGGAAAAGAGAUAUGAGAUAUGUGGAUUGUAUAUGGGUUGACUAACCCCCAAUGGGUCCUACGUCGGGAUGCUUUAGCUCUGUAGAUGUAUACGUGGAUUGUGCGACGAUCCCAUAAGUUGUACGACAACCUCGUGCAUCAUCAACAUCAUCAUCAUCAUUAUCAUAUAUAUUGCACUUAUUUUAUUGUGUUUAUGUUGUGUUGUAUUGCCUUAUUGACUUAUCAUCUAUGUAUUUGUCUUACCUUCUUUUACUUGUAUUUGAUGAUCUUGUAUCUAUAUGUUCUCUCUUGUUCUAAUUAUAUGUAACAUAAUGUUUACUUGUGUUCUAUAUCUUGGUGUGUUUUUGGUAAUAUAUGUGAGAUAUAUUAGAACUAUUAGUGCAAGCGGUGUGGCCUACCAUUGUGGGGUAUUUUCUGAUUGCAGGUGACGUGCCCUUAGUAUAUAUUUUGUAUGCUUUAUUUACCACUUUUCUUGGUCGGCCUAUGAUACCUACUGAGUACAAGUGGACCGUAAUCAUGCCCACUGCGCCCUUUCGGUGCAGGUCCUAGCUCGAGUGCGCCUCAGCUUACUUGAUUCGGACGAUUGUUGGAGCUUCCAAAGUAGCGGUUGGACAUUCAUGCAUUCGAAGUUCACCUCUAUCUUUCUAUACUAGUUAUGUCUUUAUUAGUAUUCGAAGACAAUUAUUAUUCCUUUGUGGUUAUUUUUUUGAUGUAUUUGACUCUUGG